UACGUAGGGGGCAAGCGUUGCCCGGAAUCACUGGGCGUAAAGGGCGCGUAGGCGGCCUUAUAAGUCGGAUGUGAAAGCCCGGGGCUCAACCCCGGAGGUGCAUCCGAAACUCUGGGGCUGGAGGUCGGAAGAGGAGGGUGGAAUACCCAGUGUAGAGGUGAAAUUCGUAGAUAUUGGGUGGAACACCGGUGGCGAAAGCGGCUCUCUGGUCCGGACCUGACGCUGAGGCGCGAAAGCGUGGGGAGCAAACAGG
rnacentral:rRNA from 1 species